rnacentral:rRNA from 1 species
UACGUAGGGUGCGAGCGUUGUCCGGAAUUAUUGGGCGUAAAGGGCUCGUAGGCGGUUUGUCGCGUCGGGAGUGAAAUCAUCUGGCUUAACUGGGUGCUUGCUUUCGAUACGGGCAGACUAGAGGUAUGCAGGGGAGAACGGAAUUCCUGGUGUAGCGGUGAAAUGCGCAGAUAUCAGGAGGAACACCGGUGGCGAAGGCGGGUCUCUGGGCCGAAACUGACGCUGAGGAGCGAAAGCGUGGGGAGCAAACAGG